GAUGAACGCUGGCGGCGUGCCUAAUACAUGCAAGUCGAGCGAACAGACGAGGAGCUUGCUCCUCUGACGUUAGCGGCGGACGGGUGAGUAACACGUGGAUAACCUACCUAUAAGACUGGGAUAACUUCGGGAAACCGGAGCUAAUACCGGAUAAUAUAUUGAACCGCAUGGUUCAAUAGUGAAAGACGGUUUUGCUGUCACUUAUAGAUGGAUCCGCGCCGCAUAAGCUAGUUGGUAAGGUAACGGCUUACCAAGGCAACGAUGCGUAGCCGACCUGGGAGGGUGAUCGGCCACACUGGAACUGAGACACGGUCCAGACUCCUACGGGAGGCAGCAGUAGGGAAUCUUCCGCAAUGGGCGAAAGCCUGACGGAGCAACGCCGCGUGAGUGAUGAAGGUCUUCGGAUCGUAAAACUCUGUUAUUAGGGAAGAACAAAUGUGUAAGUAACUAUGCACGUCUUGACGGUACCUAAUCAGAAAGCCACGGCUAACUACGUG
rnacentral:rRNA from 1 species